AGUUUUGUAGCUUCUCACACAGCACCUCAGGUGCAGGAUUUCACUGUGUUCCCAGUGUAAACACCAAUUCAGAUGACCAACUCCUUAUUCUGGAAAGUUAAGGCAGAAACAUAAAGUAAAUGUAAGAACACCCCCAGAAGUCCCCAGAACCCCCAGAAGCUGUUUGGUGCAUCUUCGGCAUUCGCUAGAUGUGGGCCACCUUUCAUUUGAUCUUCGUGAAAACGCAAAAUGAAAGUCCAAACCAAGGAAUACAUUUUUCUCAAUCGCGGUUAUGGUUAUUAGCGCUCACUGAUUCUUUACACUCGUAUACAAAACAAGUAUACUCAAUU